rnacentral:rRNA from 1 species
CAGUGAGGCUUCCGGAUUCCCUCUUAGAGGUCGGCAACGACCACUUCGAGGGAAAAAGUUAUCCAAACUCGGUCAUUUAGAGGAAGUAAAAGUCGUAACAAGGUCUCCGUUGGUGAACCAGCGGAGGGAUCAUUA